rnacentral:lncRNA from 1 species
AGGGCAAUGGCUCUAGGGUUAUGAUGAGAUUAUACCUAUGAGAUUUAAAAUAUUAAAAAUCUUGAUUUAGAAUAUUCUUAGUCAUAGGAGUAUUGAGUAGAGGAUCAAUGUUUCGGAUAGACUGGUACUUCCUAUGUAUGCUCGAUGGAGAGGGUGGCUGAUCUCAUAAGCUACUUGUGUGAGACACUAAUAGAAGGAUGU